rnacentral:rRNA from 1 species
UACGUAGGUGGCAAGCGUUAUCCGGAUUUAUUGGGCGUAAAGGGAACGCAGGCGGUCUUUUAAGUCUGAUGUGAAAGCCUUCGGCUUAACCGGAGUAGUGCAUUGGAAACUGGGAGACUUGAGUGCAGAAGAGGAGAGUGGAACUCCAUGUGUAGCGGUGAAAUGCGUAGAUAUAUGGAAGAACACCAGUGGCGAAAGCGGCUCUCUGGACUGUAACUGACACUGAGGUACGAAAGCGUGGGGAGCAAACAGG